rnacentral:rRNA from 1 species
UACAGAGGGUGCGAGCGUUAAUCGGAAUUACUGGCCGAAAAGCGUGCGCAGGCGGUGACUUAAGACAGCUGGGAAAUCCCCGGGCUCAACCUGGGAACUGCAUUUGUGACUGCAUCGCUGGAGUACGGCAGAGGGGGAUGGAAUUCCGCGUGUAGCAGUGAAAUGCGUAGAUAUGCGGAGGAACACCGAUGGCGAAGGCAAUCCCCUGGGCCUGUACUGACGCUCAUGCACGAAAGCGUGGGGAGCGAACAGG